AUGUGCUACAGAGCUGCCAAUGUGGUCUCUUUAUUAGCAGUUCUUGGAGGUGUCCAAUCUGAAAUCCAGCUGGUGGAGUCUGGAGGGGAUGUCAGAGGCCCUGGUGAUUUCCUCCGUCUCUCCUGCCAGGGCUCUGGAUUCACUUUCAGCAGCAAUUGGAUGAACUGGGUGAGACAGUAUCCAGGGAAAGGAGCGGAAUGGGUUGAAGAGAUAAAAUAUGAUUCAAGUACUAUUCGCUACUUGGAUAAAGUGAAAGGACGUUUCACCAUCUCCCGAGACAAUUCCAAAAGCCAACUCUAUUUGGAAAUGAACAACUGGAAGCCAGAGGACACGGGAGUCUAUUACUGUGUGAGAGACACAGUGAGAGGAAGUGAAUCUGGAUCCAAGCAAGAACCUUCUCUUCCUAUGAGCCGCUCUCCAAGUUGA